GUCGAGCGCGAAAGUUCUUCGGAACGAGUAGAGCGGCGGACGGGUGAGUAACGCGUGGGAAAUUGCCCAGUAGUGGGGGACAACAUUCGGAAACGGAUGCUAAUACCGCAUACGCCCUACGGGGGAAAGCAGGGGAUCUUCGGACCUUGUGCUAUUGGAUAUGCCCGCGUCGGAUUAGCUAGUUGGUGAGGUAAUGGCUCACCAAGGCAACGAUCCGUAGCUGGUCUGAGAGGAUGAUCAGCCACACUGGGACUGAGACACGGCCCAGACUCCUACGGGAGGCAGCAGUGGGGAAUAUUGGACAAUGGGCGCAAGCCUGAUCCAGCCAUGCCGCGUGUGUGAAGAAGGCUCUAGGGUUGUAAAGCACUUUCAGUAGGGAGGAAGGCCUUAAAGUUAAUACCUUUGAGGAUUGACGUUACCUACAGAAGAAGCACCGGCUAACUCCGUGCCAGCAGCCGCGGUAAUACGGAGGGUGCGAGCGUUAAUCGGAAUUACUGGGCGUAAAGCGCGCGUAGGCGGUUAGUUAAGCUGGAUGUGAAAGCCCCGGGCUCAACCUGGGAACUGCAUUC
rnacentral:rRNA from 1 species